ensembl:ncRNA asRNA:CR45969 antisense RNA:CR45969
ACACUAAACACUCACACGAACAUCUACAUUACUGCGGAACUUCUUAAAAUCAAGAAAAGUAUCUCUGCCUUGACAUACCACCCCCUUUUUCGACUGAAAACGCAUACGCACCAACUAAUUGAAUCAAAUGCACACGGCUAGGAGCGGAAAUUUUAAAAACUUCUGCUUGGAAAUGUCUAAAAUCACAGAGCAAAAUAAAACUUGACCGAGAAUACACUUGCUGUUGAAAAAACUGCAAACUCACCAACAUAAACGUUGCCGAUAGAGAUGGGCGCAGCGCAUGAGCUAGAGCGGG